UCAGUAUAUAAGAUCGAAUGUGU
rnacentral:piRNA from 1 species